rnacentral:rRNA from 1 species
AAUAGAUACCCCGGUAGUCCACGCCGUAAACGAUGGAUGCUAGCUGUUAUGAGUAUCGACCCUUGUAGUAGCGAAGCUAACGCGUUAAGCAUCCCGCCUGUGGAGUACGAGCGCAAGCUUAAAACAUAAAGGAAUUGACGGGGACCCGCACAAGCGGUGGAGCGUGUUGUUUAAUUCGAUGAUAAGCGAAGAACCUUACCAAGGCUUGACAUCCCUGGAAUUUCUCCGAAAGGAGAGAGUGCCUUCGGGAAUCAGGUGACAGGUGAUGCAUGGCCGUCGUCAGCUCGUGUCGUGAGAUGUUUGGUUAAGUCCAUCAACGAGCGCAACCCUUGUAAAUAGUUGAAUUUUUCUAUUUAGACUGCCUCGGUAACGGGGAGGAAGGAGGGGAUGAUGUCAGGUCAGUAUUUCCCUUACGCCUUGGGCUACAAACACGCUACAAUGGCCGGUACAAAGGGCAGCCAACCCGCGAGGGGAGCAAAUCCCAUCAAAACCGGUCUCAGUUCGGAUAGCAGGCUGAAAUUCGCCUGCUUGAAGCCGGAAUCGC